rnacentral:rRNA from 1 species
GGCCUACCAUGGUGGUAACGGGUAACGGGGUGUUAGGGCACGACACCGGAGAGGGAGCCUGAGAAACGGCUACCACAUCCAAGGAUGGCAGCAGGCGCGCAAAUUACCCAAUCCCGACACGGGGAGGUAGUGACAAUAAAUAACAAUACGGGGUCCUUUCGGGUUUCGUAAUUGGAAUGAGUACAAUUUAAAUCUCUUAACGAGGAACAAUUGGAGGGCAAGUCUGGUGCCAGCAGCCGCGGUAAUUCCAGCUCCAAUAGCGUAUAUUAAAGUUGUUGCAGUUAAAAAGCUCGUAGUUGAAUUUCGGGAUCAGUACGCUGGUCGUGCCUUCGGUAUGUACUGGUGUUACUGGUUCCUACCUUCUGACGAACCGUCAUGUCAUUAAUUUGGUGUGGCGGGGAAUCAGGACUGUUACUUUGAAAAAGUUAGAGUGUUUAAAGCAGGCUCGCGCUUGAAUACAUUAGCAUGGAAUAAUGAAAUAGGACGUUCGAUCCUAUUUUGUUGGUUUCUAGGAUUGACGUAAUGAUUAAUAGGGAUAGUUGGGGGCAUUAGUAUUCAAUUGUCAGAGGUGAAAUUCUUGGAUUUAUUGAAGACUAACUACUGCGAAAGCAUUUGCCAAGGAUGUUUUCAUUAAUCAAGAACGAAAGUUAGGGGAUCGAAGACGAUCAGAUACCGUCGUAGUCUUAACCAUAAACUAUGCCGACUAGGGAUCGGAUGAUGUUAAUUUUUUAAUGACUCAUUCGGCGCCUUACG